rnacentral:rRNA from 1 species
CAAAGGUUUGGUCCUGGCCUUAUUAUCAGCUGUUUCCCAACUUACACAUGCAAGUCUCAGCACCCCCGUGAGAACGCCCUUUUAACCUUCCCCAGAUAAAGGAGCCGGUAUCAGGCACAGACCCUUGCCCACAACACCUAGUCUCACCACGCCCCCAAGGGUAUUCAGCAGUGAUUAACUUUGCGUAUAAGCGACAGCUUGACUCAGUCAGGGAAAACAGAGCCGGCUAACACGGUGCCAGCCGCCGCGGCUACACCGUGGGCUCAAGUUGAUACUCGCCGGCGUUAAGCGUGAUUAAAGUCCUUAAGAAUUAGGGUCGAAUUAACACUUAGUAGUUUUAUGCUUGUUGUUAAGAAGAACGCAAACGAAAGUUACCCUAAUUUACCUUGAAUACACGACAGCUAGG